rnacentral:rRNA from 1 species
GAUGAACGCUAGCGGCAGGCUUAACACAUGCAAGUCGAACGGUAACAUUAAUAGCUUGCUAUUAGAUGACGAGUGGCGCACGGGUGCGGAACGCGUAUGGAACCUACCUUUAUCAGGGGGAUAGCCCAGAGAAAUUUGGAUUAAUACCCCAUAGUAUUAGUGAAUUGCAUGAUUUACUAAUUAAAGAUUUAUCGGAUAGAGAUGGCCAUGCGUAUCAUUAGUUAGUUGGUAAGGUAACGGCUUACCAAGGCAGCGAUGAUUAGGGGCCCUGAGAGGGGGAUCCCCCACACUGGUACUGAGACACGGACCAGACUCCUACGGGAGGCAGCAGUGAGGAAUAUUGGACAAUGGCCGCAAGGUUGAUCCAGCCAUGCCGCGUGCAGGAUGACUGCCCUAUGGGUUGUAAACUGCUUUUAUACAGGAAGAAAUGUACUUACGUGUAAGUAUUUGACGGUACUGUAAGAAUAAGGACCGGCUAACUCCG